rnacentral:rRNA from 1 species
GAUGAACGCUGGCGGCGUGCCUAAUACAUGCAAGUCGAGCGAAGCGGGGACGGGUGAGUAACACGUGGAUAACCUCCUAUAAGACUGGGAUAACUUCGGGAAACCGGAGCUAAACCGGAUACUUAUAGAUCGCUCCGCGCUGCAUUAGCUAGUUGGUAAGGUAACGGCUUACCAAGGCAACGAUACAUAGCCGAACUGAGAGGGUUAGCGGCCACGAUGGAAGUGAGACACGGUCCAGAAUCCGACGGGAGGCAUCAGUAGGGAGUCAAACGAAAUGGGCGAAAGCCUGACGGAGCAACGGCGCGUGAGUAAUGAAAAUCUUCGAAUCAUAAAACUCUGUUAUGAGGGAAGCGGUACCUAAUCAGAGAGCCAGGACUAACUACGUGCCAGCAGCCGCGGUAAUUC